rnacentral:rRNA from 1 species
UACGUAGGGUGCGAGCGUUGUCCGGAAUUACUGGGCGUAAAGAGCUCGUAGGUGGUUUGUCGCGUUGUUCGUGAAAACCGGGGGCUUAACCCUCGGCGUGCGGGCGAUACGGGCAGACUUGAGUACUGCAGGGGAGACUGGAAUUCCUGGUGUAGCGGUGGAAUGCGCAGAUAUCAGGAGGAACACCGGUGGCGAAGGCAGCACUCUGGGACGUGACUGACGCUGAGACGCGAAAGCGUGGGGAGCAAACAGG